GAGGUGUUGGGUUAAGUCCCGCAACGAGCGCAACCCUCGCCUUCAGUUGCCAGCAUUUAGUUGGGCACUCUGGAGGGACUGCCGGUGACAAGCCGGAGGAAGGUGGGGAUGAUGUCAAGUCCUCAUGGCCCUUACGGGCUGGGCUACACACGUGCUACAAUGGCGAUGACAGAGAGUUAAUCUCUAAAAGUCGUCUCAGUUCGGAUUGUCCUCUGCAACUCGAGGGCAUGAAGUUGGAAUCGCUAGUAAUCGCGGAUCAGCAUGCCGCGGUGAAUACGUUCCCAGGCCUUGUACACACCGCCCGUCACACCAUGGGAGUUGGCUUUACCCGAAGCCGGUGCGCUAACCGCAAGGAGGCAGCCGUCCACGGUAAGGUCAGCGACUGGGGUGAAGUCGGAACAAGGUAGCCGUAGGGGAACCUGCGGCUGGAUCACCUCCUU
rnacentral:rRNA from 14 species